UACGGAGGGUGCAAGCGUUGUCCGGAUUUAUUGGGUUUAAAGGGUGCGUAGGUGGCGUGUUAAGUCAGUGGUGAAAGCCUGCAGCUCAACUGUAGAGGUGCCAUUGAUACUGACAUGCUUGAGUAUGGACGAGGUAGGCGGAAUUUGUGGUGUAGCGGUGAAAUGCAUAGAUACCACAAAGAACACCGAUAGCGAAGGCAGCUUACUGGACCAUAACUGACACUGAGGCACGAAAGCGUGGGGAGCGAACAGGAUUAGAUACCCCCGUA
rnacentral:rRNA from 1 species